rnacentral:lncRNA from 1 species
GCUAUGGUGCUUGUAAAAGCACCAAGCACUUGGUGCUUGUAAGUGUUUUAUCAUUAGAUCUACUCCUCGGAUCAUUUUCAACCAUUAGAUUAUACUAUUCAACCAACCACCCACUCAACCCUAGGGGGCCCACAUCAUCCUAACCGCAUAUCUCUUAAUCCAAUGGCUAAAAAUCUAUAAGCACCAAUAACUUGGUACUUUUAAAAGCAUAGGAGCUCAAUUAUAUAUAUA